GCAUAUUAGGGCUCCGAAUGGGGUUUUGUAAAAUGUAAGGGUUUGAUCUAAAUUGACCCUAUAUAAACCUAAUUGCUAGGUAAACGAACGCGUUGGCGAAGACGGUUCGGCAAUCCGACGAGCCGUUGCGAAGUUAUUAAAGAAACGGACGUUUAGGCUUCGGGUCCGCCGGGAGGGCCGAGGCGAUAUCGUAAAUUCAUGAAAAUGGAUUUGAAGCUUCGUGGCACAUAACCGAAGACCUUUAAUUUUCGGAUCGUGAAUUGGAGGCCGUUCGGGUGGUCGCGUGAGAGAUCGGGCCAAACCGGGUUACGGGUGCCGCGGGAGGCCGAUUGCAAGUGUCGACAAGCAAUCGGAAUGCGAAAUGAGGUGGGUUGUGCUCACCGAAGCGAUUAGGUCGCUUUCCAUGCUAAAGUGUAGUAUGUUUACUAUUGACGCAUGAUAAAGUAUGCUAUUUAAGAAUGCAUGAUAAAGAUUAAAGUAUGCUAUUUGAGAAUGCAUGAUAAAGUAUGCUAAUUAAGAAUGCAUGAUAAAGAUAGAUGCCAAAUGAAUGCAUGAGUUGAUGUUAAUUUAUAUGUGCAUAUUAUAGAAAUGCUAAAUAGAUGUCAAAUGAAAGUAUGAGAUUUGUACUAACCGAGAAUGCAUGUAGUAAAUGUUAACGAAUGCAUAAAAUGCUAAGUAAUGACUACCAAUGGAUGACAAAAUAUAUGCAUGUUGAACAUAGAUCGAGUGGCAUUCGAAAUGGUAAAGUGGACACUAGAGUUAGUGUGGGACAUCAAAGAAUAAAUGUGAUGUAAAGAACAAUGAUAAUGGCUAAAGAUAAUGUAAAACAAUGUGAUGAUAAUAAUGUAAUGUUGCAUGAUGUGAGUACACGUGCUUAUUAGAAUGAUUAAGAAUCUAAAUAAUCUAUGUGUAUGCAUGAGAUGUAAUGUGAGAACCUAAUGAUAAUGGCUUGAGACAAGGCAAAGCAAUGUGAUGUAAAGAAUAAUGAUAAUGGCUAAAGACAAUGUAAUGUAAUGUGGCAUAAAGAACGUGUAAAGUUAAAGAAUGUGAAAGCUAAAGAUAGCUUAAAGUAAAGGAAUGUGAAAAACGUGAUUGCUAGAGUUAGCAAAAGUAAAAGAGAUGUAAAGAACAAUGAUUGCUAGAGUGGCAACAUAAAGUGAUGUAAAGAACACUAGAGUUAGUGUAAAACCAUGAUCCAACUACAUAUCCUUAGAGUUAAGGAUUGAUCAUACUUGCUAUGAGUUCCGUGCUCGAGGGCGGUCGCUCCCCCUCGGGCGAUGCGCUCCGGAGUUUGGCAUCCGGGUUGGAGUAGACCCGUAAGGACGGUCCUAGCUGGUGAGUUCCUGCGAUGAUGGACUUAAUGUGAAGCAAGUUAAUGUGGCGAAACCCCCGGGUUAGCCGUGAGAUUAAAGAACAAAGAACAAAAAGGAAUCAUGAAUUGGAAAGUGGAUCUUGUAUUCAUUAUGAAUUGACUCAAGACCGAGUCGAGUGGCAUAGUUGGCUAGGGUAAAGGUAACCCUGUGAAAGAAUGACAAUUGAGAAAGAAUGACAAUUGAGAAACGUUUGUUAAUGUUAUAAAGAAUGGCAAAUGUGUAUAAUGCGCCUAAGGUGCGAGUGCCCUUAGCAAAGAAUAAAGAAUAAAGAAUAAAGAAUAAAGAAUAAAGAAUAAAGAAUAAAGAAUAAAGAAUAAAGAAUAAAGAAUAAAGAAUAAAGAAUAAAGAAUAAAGAAUAAAGAAUAAAGAAUAAAGAAUAAAGAAUAAAGAAUAAAGAAUAAAGAAUAAAGAAUAAAGAAUAAAGAAUAAAGAAUAAAGAAUAAAGAAUAAAGAAUAAAGAAUAAAGAAUAAAGAAUAAAGAAUAAAGAAUAAAGAAUAAAGAAUAAAGAAUAAAGAAUAAAGAAUAAAGAAUAAAGAAUAAAGAAUAAAGAAUAAAGAAUAAAGAAUAAAGAAUAAAGAAUAAAGAAUAAAGAAUAAAGAAUAAAGAAUAAAGAAUAAAGAAUAAAGAAUAAAGAAUAAAGAAUAAAGAAUAAAGAAUAAAGAAUAAAGAAUAAAGAAUAAAGAAUAAAGAAUAAAGAAUAAAGAAUAAAGAAUAAAGAAUAAAGAAUAAAGAAUAAAGAAUAAAGAAUAAAGAAUAAAGAAUAAAGAAUAAAGAUUAAAGAAUAAAGAAUGGCUAAUGAUAAAGAAUUGCAUAUUCUAAAGAAAGGCUAAUGGUAAAGAAUGACUAAGAGUUGCAUAAUUUGCAUAUUUGUGAGGCAUGAACAUGUAUUGCAUGAUGUUAUAUAUAUAUAUAUCUGUUGGACUAACAUGUUGCAGUGCCUCCUUUGGACCUGGUGGGUUGAGCUUUUCACUUGGGUGGCUGUACCCACUGACGACUAUGGACAAUAGUCUCACCCCCGUGUUGUUGUUUUUGGGGGUACAGGUUCACACGCGAGCGGCGCGGCGGCGCGAGGAAAGGGCGUAGCUCCGUAGUUAGCGCCCUACCACAGAGACCAGAUAGCAACACCCUGAGUCGGCUUCUUAGGGGUAUAAGAAAAGAAAAGAAAAGAAAAGAAUCGAUGUUGUAAUGUUAUGUUUAGAAAUCGAUUGUAUAUUUGGAAGUUGAGAAUCAAUGUAAUGAAAAAUGCGAUGUAAAAUGAUGAGAUGAAUGAUUGUAAUAAUAUAGGAUGUGUUAUGUUGUUUGAUACCUUCCUUAUGCAAUCGUUGUUGAUAAUUGUUCCUGUUUGGAACCUCUUGUAAUUGUAUUGACUGCGAUGCCUUGAACGUACAGGGGAGACUCUGUCCGCGUGCAGGGGAAACCCUGUCCGUUCGGCGGUCUGUUGGCGUGCCCGAAUCCGACCAAAGAGGCGGGCUCGGGGGCGUGACAGGUUUGGAUUUUUAUGUGGACUGGAUUUGAUUUGGGUCCUUAUGUGGACUUGGUUUGGGUUGGGUUUAGAUUUUUAUUUGGACUGGAUUUGAUUUGGGUCCUUAUGUGGACUUGGUUUGGG
rnacentral:lncRNA from 1 species